CUUCGGUGCUUAUACUUUUUUUUAAAUAUAUUUAUAUAAAUAGUUUUAAGUGAAAAUAAAACCUUCAGCUAGAUUGAUAUACCCGGGAAUAUACCUGAAGUGGUGGAUUAGGUUCUGAUGCAUGAGAUUACGGGACGUCUAAUGGCUUCAAUUUUGAUGGAAAGCUGUAUCAGACCGGACGGUUUUUGUUCGGAAUCGAACGAUUGGAAACCCGGAGUUCGCCAAUCAGUCCGAGAAGUAGCAGAUGGGCGUCACAAUAAAACAUCACAAGGUAAAUUCAAAAAACAAGUAGAGGGAAGCGCAUCUCGACGGACGUGUUCUCCAGUGGCUAAAAGAUCGACGACAAAACAACCCUAUUCAUCUAUCCAUGUCCUGCAAACCAGGCCAACUUAACAACAAAUACUCACAAUAAAAAAUAAAAUGAGAAU